CAUCCUUCUGUGAGUGGAAAAGGAAGCUUUGACGUUCCUAGUUUUUAAGAAUCAUGGAGCGAGCUGUGAGCUUGGCCUGCUACAACAGAGUGCCAGCCUGAGAGGCUGAAAGCAAGUCCAUGAAAGAAAGUCCAUGUCAGUGCCUUUGCAGCAGCAGCAGCAGCAGCAGCAGCCAAGGCAUCCCUGGCUGUUUUCUCAUUUUCUGUUCAAGAGCUUUUAAACAGAGGAAGAUCUGGGUUUGCAGGCAGAAGAUUUUUUGCUGAUUUUAGCCAUGGUGGGAUAUCUAAGUCAGAGCAAUAUGCAGCACUGUCUAACUAGUUGGUAAAGAGAGCAAAUUUGGGACAAUGGGAUGUAAUGCCCUGCCACUGAGAGGCAGCUGGGACUGUGGAGGGAUUUCAACUCCCCUAAUUUGAUAGAGAGUUAAAUUGGCCUGGGACAUACGCACUGUAGAACUGAGGCCCGUAGGACCAAGUGCAUGUUAAUGGCUGUCUUGUGUUUCCUUUGUCCCAAUCCCAAGGACGUGCCAACCCAGCUGGAGACUCCCAGAAAUCCACCGUCUAUGUUCCGAUCCUUCCUGCAGUCUUACCUGUACGGGAAUGUGAGGCCCCGAUGGCCCACCAAGCAGCUUCUGCAGACAAAGUGGCUGGAGCAUCCAUUUUUAGAAAGAUCCGAUAGUCUCACCAACAACAGUCCUCUGCUCGAUGCAGCCAGGAGAUUCCUUACAGAGAGGGUCACAACACCAUCACCAGAACCUCUGCUGGCUCCCUCUGUUUCUGGACAGGAGAGUAAGGAAGAGCAAGCAGAGAAGGAAAACGUGAAAGCAAAGCCUGAAGGAAUGAAAUCAAUCCUCAAGAGCUCACCAAUGGCAGCUGUUGCUGCAGCACCACAGUCUGAAGAAAUCUCCUUUCCCGACACUGAAAUGCCAAGCACAAGCACCGGGAAAGGAGACACUCAGAAGAAAAGCAUUCCAAAGGAAAUCACGUACCGGCCGCCAAAGCUAUU